rnacentral:misc_RNA from 1 species
ACUGUGGACUUAGCCUUGUCAAUCAUCAUGGCGGGAAGAGGCCGUGGUCGUGGUAGAGGUCUGCUACUAAGUAAAGCGAUAUCACCCGGUAUGACCGAAGAUGAAGACAAGAAGGUUUCUGUAGCUGAAGUAUCACCACCAGCACCACAUCCCAAAGACAUGCGUUCAACAGCAGCCCUGGCAGAACUGGAGACUCUUAUAUCCCAGAUCUUGUACGACAUUAGUGAUGAUGAUCUUCAGCAUAUUGAGAGACUUUCAAAUGCAGCAGCAUCAUCGGAGGACCUGCAUACUAUUGCAAAAUUCAUCUACAUUCAGUGUCAAAAAAAUAGAGAGUUUGCUAAAGUUGGGGCUAUCAUUUGUGAUAGACUGGCUAACAUAGAACGAGAGGGAAUGAGAUUCCGAAACUGCAUUCUUUCCCUGGUGCAAACUGACUAUAGAGGUAGGGAAGCUCUCAGGAGAGAAUCUAGCAGUCAGUUUAUGGCUCUGGUAUCGUUCCUGUCCCAGCUACUCACCACAAUGCGAUUGGCUAAUGGAGAAGUUAUGCAGCCUUUAGUUCAACCUAUCUAUGAUUGUUUUGAUCUCAUUUUAAGUCAAGAUGAGAUGGAUGCAGAUGAAUGUGAAUGUUUAUCACUUCAGUUACAAAGUAUUGGGCGAGAACUUCAAGACAGUGGUGAAGACCAGAUGCAAGCCCUGAUGGAUAAUAUCCGUUCUAAGAUUAUUCAAGAAAAAACAAAAGCAAACAUUCGCUGUGUCCUGAUGGAAGUCUUGGAAUGCUAUGUGCGUAGGUGGCAAAAUGCUCCAAAUGAUGUUACCCGAUUUUACUGUGAUUCAAUGGCAGACAUUUUGGCGGGCAUGGUUAUUUAACUUCUUCCAGGUUUUUUUGUUUUGAUUUUUUUUUCUGAAAAUCGUAGUGGACUGGCUGCAAAGUGGGUGGCAAAUGUUUGUGCAUACUGGCGUGUUUUUUUCCCCCCAUGCAUCACUUCUUGUUUUUCAUGGAGUGCAUGUCAGUCAUGUCAAAGAUGAGCAUCUUGCAUUUCUAAAAAAAAUUCUUGGAACUAAGUUUUGACAAAUUCAGAUUGGCACAUUAUUUAUUUAUGUUAGAUUUGUUUUCUGCUUAUAUUUGUAAAUAUGCAAACAUUUAAAAAUAUGGCAUUGUCAUUCAUACUGCAUAUAACUCUGUUUGAAGGAGGCUUUAGUAUGCUGUUAGUACAUAUAAAUAUGUGUAAUUUAACUUUUGCUAAGUAUUUCUGAGACUAUUCUCCUAACAUAUCACAACAGAAAUCUUACCCCAACACACUCUCACACUCAUUGAGAGGAAGGAAUGCAUUUGGUUCAAGGACAACCUGCUUAAGUUAAAAGAACAGUAUAAAUCUGGGAAGGGAUAAUUAGUUGUCGGAGUUUGUAAAAAGUAAAUUUUUUCAAUAAAUCUUAGUAUUGAUUACUUUGGUGUUGUGCAGUAAACAUUACUUCAAACAUUUUGACGAACUUUGCAGUUUACACCAGGUUUUUGUCACCGAGCCAUAAGUCUACCUACAAACAUGUACAUCAUGACAAUGUAGAAAACAAAUAACUUUUUUCUUAGUCCACUCACAGAAAUAAGAUACCUUUUUCAUGGAGCUUUCUAGUCAUGAAAAAAACACGUUCACAUUAUUUAUUGAGUUUGGGUUUUUUUCUUUUUUGUCUGGGAGUUGGAAAAUAUUGUAACAGAAAGUUGAUCAAAUUAAUGCAGACUGAAAUAAUUUCGAAUGUGUAUUUUGUGCCAGUCUGAGCAAAGCAUGAUGCAGUCAUUUCAUCAUUUGAUUCUGAUUUGCUUGAAAAGACCGUGUUUUGUGUGUACAUGUCAUAGAUGUGUUUCUGUUCCAUGCUGAAAUGGGAGAAGGGUUGUGCUCCACUCAUCCUAAUUUGCUUCCUGCCAUAAUUUCUAUUAACAUUUUUUUUUUCCUUCAAUCUUGAGUUGUGCUCGAUUUCUUGUUUUUUUUAAUAGAGUGCACCUUCAUGAUCUUGUCAGGUUGAAAAAUUGAAAUCAUCAUUUCAAGAGUAACAGCUUACAGCAAUGUGGCAUUCCAUUUUGUUUACAGUCUCCACAUGUUUUUGGUUUUAACUAAUGAACAUGCCUUAUAAAAGCGUUUUGUGCAGGAAAUGUAUGCUUAAUACACAUUUUUUUCAUGGCUGUAAAGUUUAAAACAUCAAUGAAGUAUGUAAAAUACUUUAUAUUUGCUUUAAUGAUAGAUUUAUGCUGUUUAGAGGUAUCCCAUGUGCAAAAUCUUUUUCUUUAUGCUCAUUGGUAGCUUGUUGCCAUUCCUUCUCUGGCAGCCUCACAUACAAGAAAGUUCAAAAUGGAAUUCACCUUAGAAAUUCAUCAUUGUCAACGGAGUUGACAUCAUGCUGACUUAAUCAGCAAUUUUUUUAAAUCUUCAUAGUGUUACUCUCCAUGAUUAUUGGUUCAGCAUGCAUCAGCAUUAUAAAAUUUUAUGACCAUAGAGCAUUGUCUGUAAGUGGGGCUGGAUCGGUCACACUUUGUGAAAGCCGGCAGACAAUUUUAACGAGAUAGGCUUUAGGCUGGAACCCACAGGGCAGGCGCAGGGUUGGGAGACCCAGACAGACAUGGAGAUCGGUCCACAGCGAUGCAGAGGCAUGACAUGGUCCCAACUGGAGAGGGACAUCCAGAACCUGAUCCAACGACAUGGUGUAGUUGCAGCCCUAUGCCCCACGGGGGGUGAAUAGGAAGAAGAAGAGCAUUGUAUAUUUAAUAAAUUUUUAAUAUUUACUAUACAUGCUAAAACAACUGAAAUUUCUGUGUCAAAUAGAAAACUGCAUGGCAUUAAACUCAGAUAAACUGAACUGCUUAUUUUUAAAAAGCAAAGAUCCAAUCCAUUUAGUACACUUUUAAUCACAUAAAAAUUGCUUUAAACAGCUUUAAAAUGUAAAAGUUUAAUGGGUAGGUCUUUAGUUUCACUCCCAACUUUUUUUUUAAUCGGCUCAGGUAAGACCGUACCUUUCCGUGUUCACAUUCAAUUAUGUUUCUUAUGUGCUGUUCAUUCUAGUUUGUUUUUAUAAAAUAAAAUUGAGACUGGGUUGCCAUGCUUUAAAAAAACAAAACCACAUGGCUAACCAGCUGCUAUUUCUCAGGUCAGAACAGUUUCUGUUGUUGUUCCAGAAACAUUUGUAUCCUGUGAAUCUGUUUAUUGUCAAAAGUCAAAGAAUAUAUUUUAUCCUGCACAUCUUGGUUUUACUGAUCAGAAUUUAUCUUCACACACUUUACAGUGGCUAUUAAAGCAAGUUUUAGUUAA